GAUGAAUGCUGGCGGCGUGCCUAACACAUGCAAGUCGAGCGGCAGCGAGGGGUGCUUGCACCCUGUCGGCGAGCGGCGAACGGCUGAGUAACGCGUAGGAAUUUGCCCCAAAGUGAGGAAUAACUGCCCGGAAGGGUAGCUAAUGCCGCAUAUGGUCUUUGGAUUAAAGGGUUCAUACGCUUUGGGAGGAUCCUGCGUUGGUUUCGGUUGUUUGUAGGGUAAUGGCCUAUCAAGCCGACGCUCCAUAGCUGGGCGGAGAGGAUGAUCAGCCAGACUGGAACUAGGACGCAGUCCAGACUCCUACGCGAAGCAGCAAUGCGGAAUCUUCCACCAUGGGCGGAAGGCUGAAGGUGCACCGCCGCGAGAAGGAUGAUAGUCUUCAGGUUGUAAACUUCUUUUAAGUGUGAAGAAUUUGACGGUAACUAAUGAGUAAGCACCGGCUAACUACGUG
rnacentral:rRNA from 1 species